AUUGAACGCUGGCGGCAGGCUUAACACAUGCAAGUCGAGCGGAGAUGAGGUGCUUGCACCUUAUCUUAGCGGCGGACGGGUGAGUAAUGCUUAGGAAUCUGCCUAUUAGUGGGGGACAACAUUCCGAAAGGAAUGCUAAUACCGCAUACGUCCUACGGGAGAAAGCAGGGGAUCUUCGGACCUUGCGCUAAUAGAUGAGCCUAAGUCGGAUUAGCUAGUUGGUGGGGUAAAGGCCUACCAAGGCGACGAUCUGUAGCGGGUCUGAGAGGAUGAGCCGCCACACGGGGACUGAGACGCGGCCCAGACUCCUACGGGAGGCAGCAGUGGGGAAUAUUGGACAAUGGGGGGAACCCUGAUCCAGCCAUGCCGCGUGUGUGAAGAAGGCCUUAUGGUUGUAAAGCACUUUAAGCGAGGAGGAGGCUACUGAGACUAAUACUCUUGGAUAGUGGACGUUACUCGCAGAAUAAGCACCGGCUAACUCUGUGCCAGCAGCCGCGGUAA
rnacentral:rRNA from 1 species